rnacentral:lncRNA from 10 species
CUGUUUGUUCUGAAGAUGUUCCUUGGUCACUGAUUCAUUAUUAAUCUGUAGGAAUGGCCAAUUUUCCAUGAUAGGAGCUGUUACUACGAUGAGGGGACUGUGCUUAGUUUGGACUUCUUUCUGCAAGGGUCCAAAGGCAUCUGUCUUUGAUUCACCACUGUACUCAGUACCUAGUUCAGUGACUAGCACAGUUGAAUGAAUGAAUUCUACCCCCGCCCCAUUCCUUUUUUUCUGAACAAUGUCAGACCGAGAUGACUGAGUCAUGGCCUGAGACUGGAAUGUGAGCGUGAGAAGAUGAGCCAAGAGAGAUGCACAGCGGGUAACUGCUUUGCUAAACUCCAGCCUCAAAGUACACGGGAUGGAGGGUGGAAAGAGUCUCUGAAGCAGAAGAGACCUGACCAGACUGGCAUCUGAGGAACCUGAUCAGAUUUGCACAGUGACAGAGACUGUAGACAGAUGUCCCAUGUUCCCUGCAACAUACUGGAGACAAUCUUGGGAGGGGACUCAUGGCCCACAAAUCCUCAUAAGCAUUGGCACUGCCUGCACCCUGGGCAGGAUGUGCCUCUUCGGCCUGAGACAGCCCUGCUACUGACUCUGCCCAUGUUCUGGAGUGCAAGCAGCCCACCCUUGGGCCUGAUGAGGAGCCCACGCCCCACCCUCCGCCCCGCUCCAGUCAGAUUCUUGGUACUCAAUAGGUCAGAAGGACAAGAAAAUCCAGUCCUGAUCUAUGCAACCAUGAGGGAAAUGGGGGUCCCUGAGGUGAGAUCUGCUCCAUAUUUUGUACCUGGGAGAGGCCCAUGGGAUUCCCAGACUGUGAGAACACUGGGAGUCUCUGUGAUGGGGAGGGGCUGUGGGAUGCUGCUAUGGUUUGGCUGUGACCCCACCUAAAUCUCAUCUGGAACUGUACUUCCCAUAAUUCCCACCUGUCGUGGGAGGUAAUGGAAUCAUGGGGGUGGUUACCCCCAUGCUGCGGUUCUUCUGAUAGUGAGUGAGUUCUCAUGAGACCUGAUGGUUUUAUAAGGGGCUUUACCCACUUUUGCUCUAUACUUC